rnacentral:misc_RNA from 1 species
UAAUAAGUGUUUUAUGGCACUUUUUAAAUCCAUAUCCACCUUGUGUGCAAUGUCAGUCGAUCUUCUUCAUGGAGAUCGACCAAACAUCAACCUUUAUUUUUUAACUCUUUGUCUGAAAAAUAUUAUGGAUAAACAAUUCAAAAUA